rnacentral:lncRNA from 1 species
UUUGCAUUGACAUUGCUAUGUUCACUAUUUUGUUUUUUAUGGGGACAUUCUAAUAAACCUUCCUUAUAGUUGUUGAUAAUUUUUUGAGGAUGUUUAUGAUACUAGAACAUACUCUCUUUGCAUGAGCGGCUGUCGAGACCAUAAUGUCUCCAACUCUCAGCCAUAUUUUGAACUCAAUAAUCUUGAUUCUUAACUUCAUUUUUAUAGAGAAGUGCCAAGAAUGUGGGAAUCUACAAGGAUAUCAUAUGAAAAUUAUGAAGGACUCAAAACAGUGCCCGGAACACAGGAUGCCAUACCUAAGACAGAUGGGAAAUGCAAAUGAAUCAAAGGGUAUGGCGCCAAGUUGUUGCAUAGGCAUAUGCUGAAAAUGCAUGCACAUAAUGGUCAAGCUCAGCCUUGCCCUACUUGUCAACUGUCUCCAAAGGUAAACAGCUACUUUGUUCAAAAUGGUACAGAGGACUAGCAUGUAUGAUAGGAUGGAUGUAGAUGUGUGUCUGCAUGAAGAGACCAAUGAAAUAUUGUUCCUUGUCAUUUGCCUUUUAAAAUUGUGUUGGCAUUCAGGACUUUUGCCCAUAUACGUUUUGAUUCAUUGUUUGACCUUUUUAUUAUGUUUGUUUUGUUUAUGGCAUUCCAAUAGUUAUUAGCAAAUAACUGAGAUUAAAUAGCAAUGAGCUGUGACUUGAUUGAAUUUCAUCAGUGUUAUUGUUUAUUUGGAUAUUAUAUAAUGUAUAAAACAAUUACUGAUAUCUAGGUCACUUUAUUUAUCAUUUGAAAAAUGGAACAAUCUUGGGCUAAACCACAUUAGUGGAUUUUCUUAGUGGACUCCUCACUCUGUUUUAUUGUUUGAACAAAGGCAAGAUUGGACUCAAU